AAAGAGCAAGAAAGAGAAAGAAGGGACUAGAAGAGGUGAGAAAAGGAGAUAGACGCAGAUAGAAACAAGAGAGGAGCAAGAAGGGAUGACAGCAGACCAAAUUAUAGAAGAAAGAAGAAAGAGAGAAACAGAAGAGAGGGGGAAAAGGAUAAGGAUAAAGAAACAUAGCCAAAGAGAAAUUACCAAAGUAAUACUGGCAAGAUUCAGAUGCGCAAACGAGACCAAAGCAAGGGAAUACUGGAAAGAAGAGGGGGAAAAAGAUGCAGACUAUGCAGAAGGAAAGAAGAAGACCUAAGACAUGUAAUAGAAGAAUGUGAAAUAACGGGAGGACCAAAAGACAUAGGAAAAAUGCUGAACAAGACUGGAGAAGGUUUAGCAGAACUGAAAGCAAU